ACUAAGGUUCGAUUCGAGCGAAAGCGAGAGAACGUUGCCACAGGCAACGGCCCGAAGGGUGAGGAGCGAAGCGACGAAUAAUCCUUCCCCCACCACCA
rnacentral:sRNA from 1 species